rnacentral:lncRNA from 1 species
GUUUCACUUUUGUUGCCCAGGUUGGAGUGCAGUGGCUCCAUCUUGGCUCACUGCGACCUCCACCUUCUGGUUUCAAGCAAUUCUUCAGCCUCAGCCUCCCAAGUAGCUGGGAUUACAGGUGCCCACCACCACACCCGGCUAAUUUUUAUAUUUUAUUAGAGAAGGAGUUUCAUCAUGUUGGCGAGGCUGGUCUUGAACUCCUGACCUCGUGAUCCGCCUGCCUCGGCCUCCUAAAUGCUGGGAUUACAGGUGUGAGCCAGGCGGGAAGUGCCCUUUCAGGGACUCUGGACUUGUGACAGUCCCUGUUUCCCCGUUUCCUUCCUUUUCACCCAAUAAAACCCUGCCUUACUCACCAUUCAAAUUAACUUCAAGCCUGAAUUUUUGUGGAUGUCUAUCUUUAGCUGAACUAAGGACAAAGGACCCCCAUCUUUAGCUGAACUAAGGAAAAGUCCUGCAACAUUUUUGGUGCUCAACAUAGGGCUCCAGAAGCGAGAACACCAAGAAUAAAAUCAUGAACUGUGGCAUGGAGAAAAAUAAUCAUGCAAACAUUUUCAGAAGUUAUCAAGUAGUAA